UCUCCGUUGGUGAACCAGCGGAGGGAUCAUUACCGAGUUUACAACUCCCAAACCCAAUGUGAACCAUACCAAACUGUUGCCUCGGCGGGGUCACGCCCCGGGUGCGUCGCAGCCCCGGAACCAGGCGCCCGCCGGAGGUAAACCAAACCCUUGAAUUGCAUGGCCUCUCUGAGUCUUCUGUACUGAAUAAGUCAAAACUUUCAACAACGGAUCUCUUGGUUCUG
rnacentral:misc_RNA from 1 species